rnacentral:rRNA from 1 species
UACAGAGGUCUCAAGCGUUGUUCGGAUUCAUUGGGCGUAAAGGGUGCGUAGGCGGUGCAGCAAGUCGGGUGUGAAAUCCUCCAGCUCAACUGGAGAAUUGCGCCCGAAACUGCUGUGCUUGAGAAAGAUAGAGGUACGCGGAACUUAGGGUGGAGCGGUGAAAUGCGUUGAUAUCCUAAGGACACCGGUGGCGAAAGCGGCGUACUGGGUCUUUUCUGACGCUGAGGCACGAAAGCCAGGGUAGCGAACGGG